rnacentral:tRNA from 1 species
GCCCUUGUAGCUCAACGGUUAGAGCAGCAGACUCAUAAUCUGUUGGCUGUAGGUUCGAAUCCUACCGAGGGCACCA